rnacentral:rRNA from 1 species
AUUGAACGCUGGCGGCAGGCCUAACACAUGCAAGUCGAACGAGUGGCGGACGGGUGAGUAAUAUAUCGGAACGUGCCCGGUAGAGGGGGCUAACUACUCGAAAGGGUGGCUAAUACCGCAUACUAUUGGAGCGGCCGGUAUCGGAUUAGCUAGUUGGUGGGGUAAAGGCUCACCAAGGCCACGAUCCGUAGCGGGUUUGAGAGGACGACCAGCCACACUGGGACUGAGACACGGCCCAGACUCCUACGGGAGGCAGCAGUGGGGAAUUUUGGACAAUGGGGGCAACCCUUAUCCAGCCAUCCCGCGUGUAUGAGAAGGCCUUCGGGUUGUAAAGUACUUUUGGCAGAGAAGCGGUAUCUGCAGAAUAAGCACCGGCUAACUACGUGCCAGCCGCCGCGGUAAUUC